UACGGAGGGUGCGAGCGUUGUUCGGAAUCACUGGGCGUAAAGGGCGUGUAGGCGGUCCGCUAAGUCUGAUGUGAAAGCCCGGGGCUCACCCCCGGAAGGGCAUUGGAAACUGGCGGACUCGAGUCCCGGAGAGGAAGGUAGAAUUCCUGGUGUAGCGGUGAAAUGCGUAGAUAUCAGGAGGAAUACCGGUGGCGAAGGCGGCCUUCUGGACGGUGACUGACGCUGAGACGCGAAAGCGUGGGGAGCAAACAGG
rnacentral:rRNA from 1 species